rnacentral:lncRNA from 1 species
GUGGUGGUCGGCCGUCGGCUAGCAAAGCAACGGCAGUAGUACUAUACGAGUAGUAGUGGUGAUGGGACCCACUGUUUGGCAAGUCUUCAGGGUGAGGCAAAGGCUGGCCAAAUAUAGCCAGAGAGGGAGCCGGUUUGGCCAGCGUUGAAUGGCUAAAAUUUAACUUAGAGAGGCUAACAGAGAGGCUUUUGGAGAUGCUAUUAGUAAACCAUUGACCCUAUGUAUACUGCCUCCGCCCCUGCUAGGAAAUAUAAUUAAAGAACAGUUAUGUUCUUUGACGACGAAUUAAGCUGCAGGUCUCCUUAUAGUAUAGCAGCCAAGAAGGAAAUUGAUUCAUUAUUCGUGAUGUUACCGAAUAGUACAAUUAACUAGUAUUACUUUGACUCGAAACGAUUCAAAUUGUAGUGUUUCAGCUCAACAUAAUGCAUGCUUUGUAGUCCGUAA